rnacentral:rRNA from 1 species
CAGCCGCGCGGUAAUACAGAGGGUGCGAGCGUUAAUCGGAUUUACUGGGCGUAAAGCGUGCGUAGGCGGCUUCUUAAGUCGGAUGUGAAAUCCCUGAGCUUAACUUAGGAAUUGCAUUCGAUACUGGGAAGCUAGAGUAUGGGAGAGGAUGGUAGAAUUCCAGGUGUAGCGGUGAAAUGCGUAGAGAUCUGGAGGAAUACCGAUGGCGAAGGCAGCCAUCUGGCCUAAUACUGACGCUGAGGUACGAAAGCAUGGGGAGCAAACAGGAUUAGAUACCCGCGUAGUCCCUGUCUCUUAUACA